AAGUUUUCAGAGAUUUUGGAUCUGUUUUUUAGUUUUUCCUUUAAAAUCGAAUUUUUCUUAAAAAUUUCUUCCCUUUCAUCGUCUUUAAUUUUCAUAUUUUUUAAAAAAUUUUCAACAACGAGAUCAUUAUCGAGUAAAUUAUGAACCAUCGUUCCAUAUACUUUAUUUUUAAAAACGCCAGACAAAAUAUUCUGUUUUCCAACUAUUUUGUAGUUUAAUUUUUCAAUUUCUGAAAUUGUCCAUUUUUUUGUUGAAUUAUUAGUAAUUUCAAUGUUUCCGUAGGUGUGGCAGUGAAAACCGUGUCCUAAUUGAUUUUUUUCUCCGAAUAAAUUAUUAUUUUCAAAGUUGAAUUUUACUAAAUCAGUACAAAUAAGUGGUGAAAAUUCGACAUUUAAAAGACCAAGUCCUUCUUUUAUUAUUGGAAUCGGGCUUUUUCUCCCAAUAUCAAUUUUUUCAGAGAGUAUUUGAAAUCCACUACAUAUUCCAACAAUAUAAUUAUCAAAAUCUAAAAUCUGUUUUUUAAAUUCAUCAGUAAAAGAUCCGCUCUCAACAAUACUUCCCCCAGGUAUUAUGAGCAUUUCAAGGUCUUUUAUCUUGGAAAUAUUAUUUUCAUGAAUAAUUUUUGUUGGGAGGUUUCCAAAAUUUUCAAAACAAGGCAGAGUUCCUUUAAUAUCAAUUAAUCCAAUUUCCAUAACGUUCCCCUUUAGAAUGAAAUAUAUAUUUUAUAAGAUAUAUAUGGGAUUAUAAUUAGUUUCGGGUAUGUUAUGGAAUCAAUGGAAAAAAUUAAGAUCGGAAUUUUUGUAUUAUUUGUUGUUAUAAUUUCGUUUUCGUUAAUGUUCAUGUAUAUCGAGGGCUGGACCCUUUUACAAGCAAUUUAUUUUUCGGUAGCCACAAUUUCAACAGUUGGUUAUGGCGAUUUUUACCCAACUUCAGAACUCGGCCAACUUUUGACAAUUUUGUUUAUUGUUUUUGGGGUAAGUACUGGACUUUAUACGCUGGGCGCGUUUGCAGAGUCGUUUAUUGGCGGUUAUUUUAAAAGAUACAACAGGCGGAUCAAAAUGAAAAAAAGAAUAGAAAUGCUCGAAAAUCACUACAUUGUCUGCGGUUAUGGUAGGAUUGGUAGGGUUGUAAUAGAUCGAUUAAGGGAAAGCGGUCUUGAUUAUGUUGCAAUUGAUAAUAAUUCAGAAAUUUUAGAAGCAGAAUUUGAAAAAGAUCCAAAUUUUAAUUAUAUUGUCGGGGAUGCCACACACGACGAAUAUUUAAUAGAUGCGCAGAUAGACCGUGCAAAAGCACUUAUUUCAACAGUUUCAACAGAUUCAGACAAUGUAUAUAUUACACUUUCUUCAAAAAGACUGAAUCCAAAAUUAUAUGUGGUUUCAAAAGCAGACGAGCAGGUAGCAAUGGAUAAAUUAUUAAUUGCAGGUGCUGAUAAGGUUGUUUCCCCUUAUAUGAUUGGGGGUCUUAGGGUUGCAGAACUUGCAAUGAAACCAGGGAUAUUGGAUUUUGUUUCAACUUUUAUGUCUAUUGCAAAAUAUGAAUAUGAUGAAGAUUUGGAAAUUAGGAAAAUACUAAUUGGGAAAAAUUCAAAAAUUCGUGGAAAAACACUAACAGAAUCGCAAAUACGAUAUAAUAGUAGGGUAACAAUUAUCGGAAUUAAAAAAGAGAAUGAUUUGCUUGUAAAUCCAGGUCCUGAGAUUAUUUUAGAAUAUAAUGAUCAAAUAUAUGCUUUUGGGACUGGCGAACAGUUGGAUGUUCUUGAAAGUAUGGUUUAAUUAUUCUUAAAUUAAUUUUUUUUAUAUACUAUCGUUUCAAACCUAAAAACAUUACAUUAUCCGAACCAUUGACAUAUUAUGCAAUUGAAGUGAACAUCUGAUUGAAAUACUCAGGUGCGAUGUAAGCCUACAAUCUAGGUGAAACCUAGAUAGCAACCAAAUGUCAUUUCCUUUAAUGUAAAAUGACGUACUCCACGAGAGGGUGGCGUAAAAUUCUUUUACGCUACUAAUUCCGGUUGAUCCCGCCGGAGGCCACUGCUAUUGGGAUUCGACUAAGCCAUGCGAGUCUAUGGUUUCGGCCAUGGCGGACGGCUCAUUAACACGUGGUUAACAUACCCUCAGGUGGGGGAUAACCUUGGGAAACUGAGGAUAAUACCCCAUAGAAAAAGCAGUCUGGAACGAUUCUUUUUCGAAAGCAUAUGCGCCUGAGGAUUGGACUGCGCUCGAUUAGGUAGUUGGUGGGGUAAUGGCCCACCAAGCCUACGAUCGGUACGGGCCUUGAGAGAGGAAGCCCGGAGAUGGGGACUGAGACACGGCCCCAGGCCCUACGGGGCGCAGCAGGCGCGAAACCUCCGCAAUGCACGAAAGUGCGACGGGGGGAUCCCAAGUGCUCAUGCACAGCAUGGGCUUUUAUCAAGUGUAAACAGCUUGAGGAAUAAGGGCUGGGCAAGUUCGGUGCCAGCAGCCGCGGUAACACCGACGGCCCGAGUGGUGGCCACUUUUAUUGGGCCUAAAGCGUCCGUAGCCGGUCCAGUAAGUCCUUGUUUAAAUCCUGCGGCUUAACCGCAGGACUGGCAGGGAUACUGCUGGACUUGGGACCGGGAGAGGACAAGGGUACUUCAGGGGUAGCGGUGAAAUGUGUUGAUCCUUGAAGGACCACCUAUGGCGAAGGCACUUGUCUGGAACGGGUCCGACGGUGAGGGACGAAAGCCAGGGGCGCGAACCGGAUUAGAUACCCGGGUAGUCCUGGCCGUAAACUUUGCGAACUAGGUGUUAGGUGGGCCCCGUGCCCAUCUAGUGCCGAAGGGAAGCCGUUAAGUUCGCCGCCUGGGGAGUACGGUCGCAAGACUGAAACUUAAAGGAAUUGGCGGGGGAGCACCACAACGGGUGGAGCCUGCGGUUUAAUUGGAUUCAACGCCGGGCAUCUCACCAGGAGCGACAGCAUGAUGACGGCCAGGUUGACGACCUUGCCUGAAGCGCUGAGAGGUGGUGCAUGGCCAUCGUCAGCUCGUACCGCGAGGCGUCCUGUUAAGUCAGGUAACGAGCGAGACCCGUGCCCUAUGUUGCUACUUUUUCCUCCGGGAGAAAGGCACUCAUAGGGGACCGCUGGCGCUAAGUCAGAGGAAGGAGCGGGCAACGAUAGGUCCGCAUGCCCCGAAUCUCCUGGGCUACACGCGGGCUACAAUGGCUAGGACAAUGGGCCGCAACCCUGAAAAGGGACGCAAAUCUCCUAAACCUAGUCGUAGUUCGGAUCGUGGGCUGUAACUCGCCCACGUGAAGCUGGAAUCCGUAGUAAUCGCAGUUCAUAAUACUGCGGUGAAUGUGUCCCUGCUCCUUGCACACACCGCCCGUCACACCACCCGAGUUGGGUUGAAGUGAGGCCUUGGCCUUUGGCUAGGGUCGAACUUGGGCUCAGCGAGGGGGGUGAAGUCGUAACAAGGUAGCCGUAGGGGAACCUGCGGCUGGAUCACCUCCUAAAAAAAGAACAAU
rnacentral:rRNA from 1 species